UACGUAGGGUGCGAGCGUUGCCCGGAUUUACUGGGCGUAAAGGGCUCGUAGGCGGCCAACUAAGUCAGACGUGAAAUCCCUCGGCUUAACCGGGGAACUGCGUCUGAUACUGGAUGGCUUGAGUUUGGGAGAGGGAUGCGGAAUUCCAGGUGUAGCGGUGAAAUGCGUAGAUAUCUGGAGGAACACCGGUGGCGAAGGCGGCAUCCUGGACCAACACUGACGCUGAGUGAGCGAAAGCCAGGGGAGCAAACGGG
rnacentral:rRNA from 1 species